rnacentral:rRNA from 1 species
UGGACGAUUCUCGGCAACGGAUAUCUCGGCUCUCGCAUCGAUGAAAAACGUAGCGAAAUGCGAUACCUGGGGUGAAUUGAAAAAUCCCGUGAACCAUCGAGUCUUUGAACGCAAGUUGCGCCCGAGGCCAUCCGGCUAAGGGCACGCCUGCCUGGGCGUCACGU